rfam:Paenibacillus sp. JDR-2, complete genome.
UACAUCCUGCGAUGUUCGUUUCGGCUUUUCGUUGUUUUGAACCAAUGGCUGUUUCUAGGGAGACCAAUAUUGGAACGCGGCUGACAGGCCCUCUAAAGGGGAUCUCAAAAACGUUUCUGCGGACACCCACCUGCGAGAGCGGGUUCAGAAGCAUGUAAGUCGGACGGCAUUCGCGGGUUUUUU